rnacentral:misc_RNA from 1 species
GAUGAAGAACGUAGCGAAAUGCGAUAAGUAAUGUGAAUUGCAGAAUUCAGUGAAUCAUCGAAUCUUUGAACGCACAUUGCGCCCGCUAGUAUUCUGGCGGGCAUGCCUGUUCGAGCGUCAUUUCAACCAUCAAGCCCUUUAGCUUGUGUUGGGGACCUGCGGCUGCCGCAGCCCCCAAAUGCAGUGGCGGGCUCGUUGUCACACCGAGUGCAGUAAUCAUUCUUCUCUCCGGGCGUGGCGGCGGGUUCCGGCCGUAAAAUCACCAAUUUAUCAAGGUUGACCUCGGAUCAGGUAGGAAUACCCGCUGAACUUAAGCAUAUCAAUAAGCGGAGGA